AGUUAUGGAGCUCAGUGGUAGAGCACUUGCCUAACAUGCAGGAAGCCCUGAGUUUGAUCUCCAACAUCACAA
rnacentral:tRNA from 1 species